UCAUCAUGAAUGUGAGUUUAAAUUUAAUUUAUAAUAGAGUACCAAUGAAUAACAAUAAUACUUAGAACUAAGAUAAGUGGCGACAAUUGGUAAGUCAGUACGCUCCCAUCAAACGAGUUCUGAAGUAACUUCAUUUUCCAAUGCUUUUUCAAUCAGCAAGCAAUAACUCAGUCAAGAAGCUAUCUAGUUAGUAAAAUAUUUAGAUGGACCCAACUGUGCCCUUGGAAUAUACCGAUGCCGAUUGAAUUGGAAUACUCUGUUCAUACCUGAAGAAAUUUUCAGGAUCAACUGCUGUCUUUACACGCGCCAAUCUGUCAAAGUUGCCCUUGAAGUAACUAUGCCCAUAGACACUUGCUUCCUGGAAUGUACCAGUUCCACUGCUGCCAAUGCUGCCAAUGUCAAUAUCUCGAUAGUUGAGAAAUGCUUCCCUCGGGUUCUUUGAGACAUAAGGGGUCAUGGCGUCAUGGAGUGUUCUUGUCAAAUUCAGGUAACGGAAGGUGGUUUCAAUACCAUCUUCUUUCCAAUUUACAAAAUACUGAAUCUUGUAUAAGUUUCCAGCUCUGUGUGGGAAUGCAGUUUCAGUCUCUGAAAUUUCACUCAUUUUUCCCCCAUAAGGGUUCCAAGCCAUUCCCACUUCUCCUACUUGAGUCAUAACGUUCCAAAUAGAUUCCAAAUCUGCCUUUGAAAUGGGUUGUUUCACAUAGUCUGAUUUGCGUUUCAAGUAACUCACCGUUGCUUUUGAAGUUCUGUUAAGUAAAGCUUCGAUGGGAGUUCCUUUUGGCAUACCAAACCAAAAUACAGUAGACUCGAUCCAUCUCAUUUCAAUAGCAUCAUUCUUCUGUAAACCCAAUUCUGGAAAGCUGGCAUCCAUCAACGGAAGGAGUUUUUGUGCAUUGCCAAGAAACAUGCCAACGAAUAUUGCGUUUAUGGUUCCAUUUGUGGGUUGCAGCGUCAAUCUAAUGAACAGGUCUUGAUCUAGCUUGUCUGCGACUUGUUGCCACUUCGAAACAAGGUCUGUGCCACCUUGCUGCCCUAUACUUCGAACAACUUGAAAAACGGUGACGCGUUCAGGGACAGGAACCAAUUUUACUUUCCAGGAAAGAACGACUCCAAAGCUCGCUGCACCGCCCCCUCUGAUGGCCCAAAAUAGAUCUUCUCCCAUUGAUUUUCUGUCAAGAAUUCUUCCCUCGACAUCAACUAUUUGUGCAUCAACAAUAUUGUCCACUGAAAGGCCAUAUUUCCUCAUCAUGUUCCCAUACCCUCCUCCUGAAAUGUGUCCCCCAAGGCCUAGUGUAGGGCAGACUCCAGCAGCGAAUCCAUGGACAUUACUUUUCUCAGCAAUUCUAUAAUAAAGUUCACCAAGAGUUGCCCCUGCCUGAGCCCAAGCAGUUUCAUCUUUUAUGUCGAUAUCAAUAGAUCGAAGAUUAGACAUGUCGAGGACAAUAAAAGGGACUUGUGAUACAUAGGAAAGUCCAUCAUAAUCAUGACCCCCACUUCGUAUUCUAAUCUGCAAGCCAAGACUUUUAGAACAUAAAACAGUUGCUUGGACAUGGGAUUCAUGUUUUGCUGCUACAACUGCUAGUGGUUUUGGAGUUGAAGGAGUUGAAAACCUGAGGUUUCUGACAUAAUUCUCUAAAACAUCUUGAAAUGAAGAAUUGUUGGGGGUAUAGAUUGCAUCAGAAAUGGGAUUUGGCGGCUGAGACUUGCUAGAAAGGCAUUGGAGAAAAUCUUCAUGAUCGUUUUGCGGUAAUCUUGCAAAAGAAACUGAUGAAAUGAAAAGAAAUGAAAAUAGAGGAAGAGCUAAAAGCCUCAUUUUGUUUCUGCAAGUAUACAAAAUGAGGAGAAUG
rnacentral:misc_RNA from 1 species